rnacentral:rRNA from 1 species
AAGAGACAGCAGUCGCCGCGGGAAUACAGAGGGUGCGAGCGUUAAUCGGAUUUACUGGGCGUAAAGCGUGCGUAGGCGGCUUUUUAAGUCGGAUGUGAAAUCCCUGAGCUUAACUUAGGAAUUGCAUUCGAUACUGGGAAGCUAGAGUAUGGGAGAGGAUGGUAGAAUUCCAGGUGUAGCGGUGAAAUGCUUAGAGAUCUGGAGGAAUACCGAUGGCGAAGGCAGCCAUCUGGCCUAAUACUGACGCUGAGGUACGAAAGCAUGGGGAGCAAACAGGAUUAGAUACCCCUGUAGUCCCUGUCUCUUAUAC